rnacentral:rRNA from 1 species
GACGCCAGCGGUGGAGCAUGUUGUUUAUUCGAAAAUACGCGAAGAACCUUACCUAGGCUUGACAUCCCUGGCAAAGCUAUAGAAAUAUAGUGGAGGUUAUCCAGGUGACAGGUGGUGCAUGGUUGUCGUCAGCUCGUGUCGUGAGAUGUUCAGUUAAGUCUGCUAACGAGCGCAACCCUUGUCGAUAGUUGCUAACAUUUAGUUGAGAACUCUAUCGAGACUGCCGGUAUUAAACCGGAGGAAAGGUGGGGAUGACGUCAAAUCAUCAUGCCCCUUACGUCUAGGGCAACAGGCGUGCUACAAUGGCUGGUACAAUGAGUCGCAAAACCGCGAGGUGGAGCUAAUCUCCAAAGCCAGUCUCAGUUCGGAUUGAAGUCUGCAACUCGACUUCAUGAAGCUGAAAUCGCUAGUAAUCCCGGAUCAGAAUGCCGGGGUGAAUACGUUCUCGGGUGUUGUACACACCGCCCGU